rnacentral:rRNA from 1 species
AAGUCGUAACAAGGUUUCCGUAGGUGAACCUGCGGAAGGAUCAUUAACGAGUUAGGGUCCCUCGCGGCCCGACCUCCCAACCCUUUGUCUACCUGACCACUGUUGCUUCGGCGAGCCCGUCUGUAAUGGACCGCCGGGGGGUACCUUGAUCGGCCCUCUGGUCCGCGCUCGUCGAUAGCCAAACUUUUAAAAUCUUAACCAAACGUGUCUCAAUCUAAGUAUUAUUUGUUAAAUAAAAGCAAAACUUUCAACAACGGAUCUCUUGGUUCUGGCAUCGAUGAAGAACGCAGCGAAAUGCGAUAAGUAAUGCGAAUUGCAGAAUUUCAGUGAGUCAUCGAAUCUUUGAACGCACAUUGCGCCCUUUGGUAUUCCGAAGGGCAUGCCUGUUCGAGCGUCAUUAUCACCCCUCAAGCCCCCGGCUUGGAGUUGGACGGUUUGGUGGAGGCCCCCUCGCGGGGCCACCGCCCCUCCCAAAGACAAUGACGGCGGCCUCGUUGGACCCCCGGUACACUGAGUUCUUCACGGGACACGUAUCGGACACAUGGGUUUACGGGACACGGUCUGCCUCCCCUCAGGGAGAAUCUUUCUAAGGUUGACCUCGGAUCAGGUAGGGAUACCCGCUGAACUUAAGCAUAUCAAUAA